rnacentral:rRNA from 1 species
AUACGGAGGGUGCAAGCGUUGUUCGGAAUUACUGGGCGUAAAGCGCGCGUAGGUGGUCUGUUAUGUCAGAUGUGAAAGUCCACGGCUCAACCGUGGAAGUGCAUUUGAAACUGGCAGACUUGAGUACUGGAGAGGGUAGUGGAAUUCCCGGUGUAGAGGUGAAAUUCGUAGAUAUCGGGAGGAAUACCGGUGGCGAAGGCGACUACCUGGCCAGAUACUGACACUGAGGUGCGAAAGCGUGGGGAGCGAACAGGAUUAGAAACCCCGGUAGUCC